rnacentral:rRNA from 1 species
UACGUAGGGGGCAAGCGUUGUCCGGAAUCAUUGGGCGUAAAGAGCGUGUAGGCGGCUUGGUAAGUCCGCUGUGAAAGUCCAGGGCUCAACCCUGGAAUGCCGGUGGAAACUGUCAAGCUUGAGUCCGGAAGAGGCGAGUGGAAUUCCUGGUGUAGCGGUGAAAUGCGCAGAUAUCAGGAGGAACACCAACGGCGCAGGCAGCGUCCUGGCCGCUUGCUGACACUGAGGCACGAAAGCUGGGGGAGCAAACAGG